UGAGGAAUAUUGGUCAAUGGACGAAAGUCUGAACCAGCCAUGCCGCGUGAAGGAUGACUGCCCUAUGGGUUGUAAACUUCUUUUAUAUAGGAAGAAACCCCUCUACGUGUAGAGGGUUGACGGUACUGUAUGAAUAAGCACCGGCUAACUCCGUGCCAGCAGCCGCGGUAAUACGGAGGGUGCAAGCGUUAUCCGGAAUUAUUGGGUUUAAAGGGUGCGUAGGCGGAAAUUUAAGUCAGUGGUGAAAGCCUACAGCUUAACUGUAGAAUUGCCAUUGAUACUGAAUUUCUUGAAUCUAAUUGAAGUAGGCGGAAUAUGACAUGUAGCGGUGAAAUGCUUAGAUAUGUCAUAGAACACCGAUAGCGAAGGCAGCUUACUAAGUUAGUAUUGACGCUAAUGCACGAAAGCGUGGGGAGCGAACAGG
rnacentral:rRNA from 1 species